rnacentral:rRNA from 1 species
UACGGAGGUUGCAAGCGUUGUUCGGAAUAACUGGGCGUAAAGGGAGCGCAGGCGGUCUGAAUAGUCUAAAGUGAAAGCCCGGGGCUUAACUCCGGAAGUGCUUUGGAUACUGUCAGACUCGAGUUCGUGAGAGGAAAGCGGAAUUCCAGGUGUAGCGGUGAAAUGCGUAGAUAUCUGGAGGAACACCGGUGGCGAAAGCGGCUUUCUGGCGCGAUACUGACGCUGAGGCUCGAAAGCAUGGGGAG